rnacentral:rRNA from 1 species
ACUUGACCUCAAAUCGGGUAGGACUACCCGCUGAACUUAAGCAUAUCAAUAAGCGGAGGAAAAGAAACUAACAAGGAUUCCCCUAGUAACGGCGAGUGAAGAGGGAAGAGCUCAAAUUUUGAAUCUGGCGUCUUCGGCGUCCGAGUUGUAAUCUAAAGAAGUGUUUUCCGCGAUGGACCGUGCACAAGUCUCCUGGAACGGUGCGUCAUAGAGGGUGAGAAUCCCGUUUAUGGCACGGACUACCAUUGCUCUGUGAUACACUCUCGACGAGUCGAGUUGUUUGGGAAUGCAGCUCAAAAUGGGUGGUAAAUUCCAUCUAAAGCUAAAUAUUGGCGAGAGACCGAUAGCGAACAAGUACCGUGAGGGAAAGAUGAAAAGCACUUUGGAAAGAGAGUGAAACAGUACGUGAAAUUGUUGAAAGGGAAACGCUUGAAGUCAGUCGCGCUCAUUUGGAUUCAUCCUGGCUUUUGCCUGGUUUACUUCCUUGUGGGCGGGUCAACGUCAGUUUUGACCGGAGGAAAAAGCCUUAGAGAAAUGUGGCAGCUUGCUGUGUUAUAGUCUCUUAGUGUAUACUUCGGUUGGGACUGAGGACCGCAGCGCGCCUUACGGCCGGGGUUCGCCCACGUACGCGCUUAGGAUGUGG